AGUGAACGCUGGCGGUAUGCCUAACACAUGCCAGUCGAACGGCAGCACAGUAAGAGCUUGCUCUUACGGGUGGCGAGUGGCGGACGGGUGAGGAAUACAUCGGAAUCUACUUUUUCGUGGGGGAUAACGUAGGGAAACUUACGCUAAUACCGCAUACGACCUACGGGUGAAAGCAGGAGAUCUUCGGACCUUGCGCGAUUGAAUGAGCCGAUGUCGGAUUAGCUAGUUGGCGAGGUAAAGGCUCACCAAGGCAACGAUGCGUAGCUGACCUGAGAGGAUGAUCGGCCACACUGGAACUGAGACACGGUCCAGACUCCUACGGGAGGCAGCAGUAGGGAAUCUUGGACAAUGGGCGAAAGCCUGACCGAGCAAUACCGCGUGAGUGAAGAAGGCCUUCGGGUUGUAAAGCUCUGUUGUUAGGAAAGAAAAACAGCAUAAUUAACCCCCGCUGUUUUGACGGUACCCAAACAAUAAGCACCGGCUAACUUCGUG
rnacentral:rRNA from 1 species